rnacentral:lncRNA from 1 species
GAUUUUUGAAAAAAAUAAACUUUUCCACCUAAACUACCAAACUACCAAGCUUUAUAAACUUUUUCCAAAAUUUGAGCUGAAUUAGAAAGUGGGGUUUGAAAAAUUCGACAAGAAUCAAGUUUUAUUCCCUAAGAGUUGGGGCGGUUUGGAUUUCGGGAAGAUAUAAAGUUCGAGCUUUUGAAGGUUUUAGCUAAAUUUCAUGAUGAAGUUGUGGAGGUUAAUCCUAAUGAUGGCUAAUGUUGCAGCUGUAUUAAGGGAGAUCAGCUACGCAAUUGAGGCAAGUCUGGUGAUUUUUACUUAGGAUUCGUGUAACUGGAGGCAAUGCCAGCUGCUAUGAAGUUAACUAGGUGUUGGAACUGAUAUGAAAGUUAAAGAAUGUUGUGGUUGUUUUGCUUCGAGAUUAGUGUUAGCGAUAACAUAAUUAGGGAUGUCUGAACAAUCUCUGAGUGCUGCUUUAAGUUCAAGUUGUCUUACAGUUGAUGACCCAUUCCUGUGCUUACUUUAUGGCGCAAUCUGUGGUCAAGUCUGAAUAUUGUCUCCCUGAAAGAAGGCUGAUCCUCACUCUUGGAUGUAAAUAUAUCUUCCCCGACACCCUUGAUUUUAUACUUUGUAGUCCAUCCAUUUGUGUUUGUUAAAUAUGUACAUGCAUGGUUUGUUUCAUUCCUUUAUUUCGUUGUUCGUUUGAUAUGGAGUUGCUUACCAAGGGGAAGAAGAGUUGCUACGCGAUUGCUCACUUUGAGGGUUAUGCUACUACAUGGUGGGAGUAUGUUAAGAAUUUUGGCAACGUUUUGGUAGAGGGGCAGCCCCCCUCCUUGGUUUCGGCUAAGGUACCUCAUGAGACAAAGGUACCUACCCAAAAGAUAUUAUCAAGAGCUCCUUGCCAAGUUGUAUAACUUGAGGUAAGGAAACAAAAGCGUCGUGGCUUACUACGAUGAGUUCCAACAACUCAUCUUGAAACUUGAUCAUAAAGGGGAACAAGUGAGUCAUGACAUCAUCUGAUUCAAGGUGGGGUUGAAUAGAGACAUUGCUUCACAUUUGACACUUCACAAGUUUGACACCCUUGAUGCCAUCUUCCAAGCCGCAUCGGAAACUGAAAGAGAGUUGAGGGAGAAACCGGAGUCCAAGUUCAAAGUCCAAUCACCCUUGGGUUGGCACCAUGACAAGAAUGAUUCAUCCAAAGUGGAGCAACCCGAGGCCAAGGCUACCCAAGCCGAGAACAAGGCUCACCAAAGGCACCCUCCGAGAAAUGAAGGUAAACCACAUUCCUUUCCUAAUUCUAAGGGCUUUCAAUGUUUUAAAGCCAAGGUUUGAGAUACAAGGCUAGUGAGUGUUCGAAUAGGAGAAAUAUGAUUCUAAGAGAGAGGAAAUUGUAUUUUCUUGGGGAGGAGGUGGGACUUGAACCGAAGGAAAUUGAUGAUCAAUCUCAAGGUGGAGAGGGGGUAAAACCCGAGAGGCCAAAAGAAGGGGAGGAGGAGGAUGCUUGUCCAUGUGAUGGUGAGGUUGAAGUGCCAUGCUUUGUAGUGAGAAAGGCCAUAAUUAGUAAGGUUUUGGGUGAUCCUAGUCAAAGGGAAAACCUUUUUAACUCCAAAUGCCUUAUUAAAGGGGUUGUGUGAUCUAUGCUUGUUGAUGGAGGUAGUUGCGCCAAUAUUGCUAGUAGUACAUUGGUUGAUGUUUUGAGGCUGCCCACUAUCCGUCAUUCCAGCCCAUACAACCUUCAAUAGUUAAAUGAGUGUGGUGAGCUAAAGGUAAACCGACAAGUGGUGAUACGGUUCAAGGUAGGCAACUACUUUGAUGAGGUGUUGAGUGAUGUUAUUCCUAUGCAAGCGUGCCACCUAUUGUUAGGAAGACCAUGGCAAUAUGAUAGAGGUACCGUGCAUGAUGGACGAACCAAUAGCUACACUUUGGAGCUCCAUGGCUGAAGGUAUACGCUCCACCCGCUCUCAUCGAUACAAGUAGUCGAAGUUAGUUAACAAGUGAGAGAGUUGGAAAGAAAGAGAAAGAAGGAGAGAAAGAAAAAGGCCGAGAGAGGGAGUAGAGAAGAAGAAGAGGGAACCAAGGAGCAAAGAUACAAGGGGUCCUCACUUUUGGGACUUACCCUUGGGAAUCCUUUACUUCUCAUUAACAUAGGUACUAGCAUUUUUCCUAGUACCGUCUUUUCUUGUGUGCAGGUACAUGAUCAUGUGCUUUCUAGGGAAGAUACCAAGCAACUUUCUCACCAACAAAUGCUUAAUGAACUCAAGGAGGCCUUGGCUAAGCCUCAAAGCUUUGGGACAGAAAAUGAGAAGGUGAUUCUAUGGAAGAGCCGUGAGGUUGAUGAAGCCAUGAGUUUGAGGUCAAACUCCUUUCAAGGUGAAGAGGAUGAUACAAGUACGACUUCGUAGAUGGACAUAUUUUUGAUCUUUUUAAACUCAACCAAGAAGGUGCACACGCUAAUUGUGAUGGAGGCUCCAAAACCAUCCAUAAUGGGCACUACAUAGGUGUCUAAUGUGCACUUGGUCAUUAAAGGGCAUUUUUGUCUUUUCACAUUUAUUUGAGAUGUAAUAUAAAUAGAACAUUUUAGGUCUUUUUCUCCUUAGUUGAAUAUUUUAGAUACUUGUAACCUUGCAACACUUUAGCCUUCUCUUAGAAGCUCCCAAUCGAAACUAGGGCUAGACAAGUGAAGAUUCACUUGUGUUUGCAUAUUGGCUUGAAACGUUGGUGUUUAGAGGAGGUAAAGGCCCUCUUGUGUCAACGUAGAGUUAGGUUUCUGUCGUGGAUAGUGUUAAGUGUCCAAAAGUGUAAUAAUUCUUGGGUUCUUAAGAUUGUCCCUUCAUUUGGUCUAACUAUUUAUCUUGUAUCUUGUUGAAUCCGUUGGUUCCUCGUUGUUGUUAAUGUAUCCGUAACUUUCUUCUUGUUGUAAUCUUGUUGUUUAUGUGUUGACAUAGUGAAGCUGUGUGGGGCCUCUUCGAUUCACUAUCCUUGUAAUCUUGUAUUCUCUAUCUACUUUGUUGAAUAUUGUUGUUGUUGUCUUGAAAACAUAGAGAAGCCGAGUGGGGCCUUUGAUUCUCUAUUGAUGUUGAUCUUGUAGAUUUCUUGAAUCGUGUUGUGUGUUCGAUCUUGUAGCAGAUAGGCGAGCAGUUGUCCUUGCUUCAGGCUUUUCAUUUAGUGCUAAAGAGAUAUAGAAGAUUACAAACGAGAAUAAGGACCUUGACCUGCCUACCCAUAAGGUUAAGCUUUGAUUAUGUUUGGAGUUCCAGUUAUGUUUUCAUAGUUUGUUAGUCCGCUUAAUGUUUACCUAAUCACAGGUUAUGGUAGCUACUGUACACUGUGAAGAAAUUGCCCAUGAAAAAUAUUUUGCUUUUACCGAAAAUGAGGUAUUGAAUUGUUUUAAAGGUUAACUUAUUGUAUUAUACAUGCUUAUAACACCUGGCUGAAAUCUAAGAAGGUAUGUUUAUAAUUAAAUUGUUUUAUACAUAUAUAGAAAAGUUUCUGAAAAGUUUAAUUUAUGUGCUGAUAUAUUUUAACGGAAAUGCUGCUAUUCACAAAAUUUUUUCUUUACCUUUUGUUAUAAAAAUGGUUGCCAUUAUUGUAUAUUGGGUGAGAAUGACGUAGGAUAAGAUUGGGUCGGCUGGAUAUAUUAAAUGUUGUUCACCAGAGUUAUUGUGUUGCUGCAUCUACCAAGUUUUGCUAUCAAAUUCUAUCAUUUUGUGUACGCUCUAGUGAACAAACCUGCAUCUAAGACACCAAUGAACGUCGAGAAACCUGCAGCUUUUACCAAAGAGAAGCUAUUUGAGCAGAGCUGCACUUGUGCAUCAAUGUAGAGCUGUAAGAAUUCCUCCUCCUAUAGGUGUUGUUUGAUGUUUUUUCUUUUCUUGAUAUGUGAUAUAUCAAUUCAGGUACACGUUUUUCCUUUAUAAGGACAAGUGUACUUGGGCGGUAACAUUCUCUCUCUGCAGGUAUGGUGCUCAGGCUGUUAGAAUAUGAGACUCUUCUUGAUGGUCUUUUGUUUAAUAGUUUCUUUUAAAUAUUAUGUUUAAUUUUAUUUUAAAAGAUAAAUAGUAGUCUUUAUUUUUGGGAAGUGUGUCUUGUAAGAUGGUGUGUCUUGUAAGAUUUAUAAAGUGUGUCUUGUAAGACUCAUGUAGCUUAUAAGUAUAGUCUUUUGUAAAAUGUUGACUAUGAAUCAAUGUUGAAUGUAUGAAUGAAAACUCCUGCCGAACCUUUUUUCUUCUCUUAAGCUCCAAAUUGCAACAAAUUCUAACUAGGGUUACUCCUUUUUUCUUCUCUUAAUCUCCAAAUUGUAAUAGUGGUAUCAAGAGCCAACCUUCUUGAGGGAUCUGUGAAGGCCUAAAGAUAAGUUUUUUUUUUUCCAGAUCUUCUAAAAAAAGAAACCUAAAUAGCAGUAACAUGGCAUUCAACAACUUAUUGGGUGCAGAUCCUCCUAUGUUUACAGGAGAAAAUUAUCAUAUAUGGGUGAUAAAGAUGAAGGCUUAUCUCAAAACUCUUAGUCUAUGGGAAACAGUUGAAAGUGAAAAUGAUCCCCCUUCAUUGGGACCAAAUUCAACUGUUGCACAAAUGAAGAAUUAUGAAGAUGCAAAGUCCAAGAAACCAAAGGCACUCACGUGUCUUCAUUCAGCACUUUUAGAUGUGAUUUUUACAAGAAUAAUGGCUUGUGAAACACCUAAAGAAGUAUGAGAGAAGCUAAAAGAGGAGUUCGAUGGAAGUGACAGAGUGAAAACUGUCAACCUCUUAACUCUCAAAAGAGAAUUUGAGAUGUUAAGGAUGAAAGAAUGAGAUACAAUGAAGGAGUACUCUGCUAAACUUUUGGAAAUUGUAAAUAAAAUAAGAUUAUUUGGUGAAAUUUUUCCAGAUUCAAAGAUGGUGGAGAAGAUGAUGAUAAGCUUACCAGCAAGGUUCGAGUCCAAGAUUUCAGCAAUAAAGGAAUCUUGUGAUUUGAAGACUAUGUCCAUCGUAGAGCUGAUUAGAAAGUUGCAAGCCCAAUAACAAAGAACAAGUAUAAGAGAUGAAGAAGUAGAAGAAGUGGCAUUUCAAGCAAAGCAUAAAGACAAGCAACCUGUGAAGGACAACAGGAGGAUGGAAGGAGAUAAAACAGCAAAGAGAAAGCCAUGGACUGAAUCUUCACAGAAAGCAAAGUUUCUACCGUGUGUCCACUGUAAAAGAACCAAUCAUCAAGAAAAGGAUUGUUGGUUCAAAGGAAAGCCUUCAAUUCAGUGCAGAUUUUGCAGAAAAAUGGGUCAUAUUGAAAAGAAUUGCAGGGCCAAGCAGAAUCAACCACAACAACGCCAUGUUCAACAGGCAAACUUCAUUGAAGAGUCAGAAAAGGAAGAAAGCUUGUUUAUGGCUACUCAUGAAGAAAGCACAACCAACCAAUCCAAAUGGUUCCUGGACAGUGGGUGCAUAAGUCAUAUGUCAUAUAAUGAGCUCAUGUUUCACACACUUGACAAGUCACUUAAAGCUAAAGUUAGGAUGGGAAAUGGUGCAACAUUAGAAGCACAUGGAAAGGUUUCAGUUUUCUUUCAAACUAACCAAGGUACAAAGCUUAUACAUGAUGUAUUGUAUGUUCCAUCUUUAGCAUGUAACCUGUUGAGUGUUGGUCAAAUGAUGUCUAAAGAUUACUCCUUACUUUUAAGGGAAAACAUUGUUUGAUUUUUGAUGAUGAUGAUACUUUGAUUGACAAAGUAGAAAUGGUGGAUAAGAUCUUUCCAGUAGAUGGAAAGUCUGAUAGUGCCAAUUUUGUAAAAUUGGAUGAUUCAUGGUUGUGGCACAGAAAAUAUGGGCAUUUUAACUAUGCCACUUUAAGGUCUAUGUAUGAGAAAGGAUUGACUAAGGAUUUACCUGAGGUCUCACUAUCUAAAAAAGUGUGUGGGUCAUGUCAGAUGGGCAAGGUUUACAAGGUUUACAGGAAACCAUUUCCUAAAAGUGCUUCAUGGAGGGCAACUGAAAAGCUUGAACUUGUUCACACUGAUGUAUGUGGAGCUAUGAAAACUCCAUCCUUGGGUCAAAAUAAAUAUUUUGUGUUGUUCAUUGAUGAUUUUACAAGGAUGACUUGGGUGUAUUUUUUGAGUAACAGGUCUCAAGUAUUUUCAGUUUUUAUGAAGUUUAAAGCUUUCGCAGAAAGACAGAGUGGCUGUAAGCUGAAGGUUUUAAGGUCAGACAAUAGAGGUGAAUAUACUUCAAAUGAGUUCAACAAGUACUGUGAAGAUACAAGGAUUGAUCACAAGCUGACAGUAAGUUAUUCACCAGAACAAAAUGAAGUCUCAGAGAGGAAAAACAAGGUAGUUAAAAUGGCUAGCUGUUUGUUGCUUGAAAAGAUACUACUGCAAAGUUUUUGGGCAGAAGCUGUUUAUACUUCAAUUUAUUUAUUGAAUAGGCUGCCAACCAAAGCUAUAGAUGGUAAAACUCCUAUUGAGGCAUGGAGUGGAAAAAGGCCAUCUGUCAAGCACUUAAAAAUCUUUAGUUCGAUAUGCUAUUCUCAUGUUCCUUCAGUGAGAAAAAGCAAGCUUGAACCGAAAGGUAAAUUGGGGAUCUUUAUUGGUUAUUCAUUGCAGGCCAAAUGUUAUAGAGUUUUUAACUUGCAAACAAAAGGUAUUUCCAUCAGAAGAGAUGUAGUGGUGGAUGAGCAUGCUUAUUGAAAUUGGGAUAAGGACCAAGUUGAGAAAGAAAAUACAGGUUAUUUGAACUUGAAUCCGCUGUCUGAGAAACAACCAUUUGACUCUAAAAAUCUGGAAGAAGCUGAAGAAUCAGAUGGUGAAUCUUACUUGAUUCGCCAAUUUUGAAGACAAGAUCCCUUUCAGAUAUAUAUGAAAGAUGCAAUGUUGCUAUCUUGGAGCCCAAUACCUAUCAAGAAGCAUCAAAACAUGAUGUUUGGAUUGAAGCCACGAAGAAGGAGAUUGGUAUGAUAGAGAAGAAUGACACUUGGAAGCUGGUUGAUAAACCCAAAGACAAAAAUGUAAUAGGGGUGAAAUGGGUUUAUAGAACCAAACUUAGUCUAGAUGGUUCAGUUAAUAAACACAAGGCAAGACUUGUUGUGAAAGGUUAUGCGCAAGUUGCAGGUCUGGAUUAUGGAGACACAUUUGCACCUGUUGCAAGACAUGAUACGAUACAACUUCUAUUUGCUUUGGUAGCUCAAUCAAAUUGAAAGUUGUAUCAUUUAGAUGUAAAGUCGGCAUUCUUAAAUGGACCAUUGCAGGAACAAAUUUAUGUCGACCAACCAGAAGGCUUUCAAGUUGAAGGAAUGGAGGAUAAAGUUUAUAGAUUACAUAAAGCAUUGUAUGAAUUAAAACAGACUCCUUGAGCAUGGUACAGUAAGAUUGAUGAUCAUCUCAUUCAUUGCAGCUUCAAAAGAAGUGAAAAUGAAGCCACUUUAUAUGUGAAGAAGGCUAAAGGUGGAGAUGUGCUAGUGGUAUCACUCUAUGUUGAUGAUCUUCUAGUAACCGAAAGCAAUGAAGCUAUGGUGAAUCAAUUCAAGCAAGAAAUGGAAACCAAGUUUGAGAUGUCAGACUUGGGUGAAAUGAAUUACUUUCUGGGAAUGGAGAUUCAUCAAACUACUGAUGGAAUCUUUAUUUCCCAGAGAAAAUAUGCAUAUGCAUGGGAUGUUCUUCAAAAAAUUCAAGAUGGAGAAAUGUAAGCCUGUAUCGACUCCACUAGUUCACAAUGAAAAGAUCUCGAAGUCUGAAGGACGUGAUAGGGCUGAUCCAAUAGUUUACCGAAGUCUAAUUGGUAGUCUGCUAUAUUUGACAGCAAUAAGACCUGAUCUCAUGUUCGCGACAAGUUUUUUGUCAAGGUUUAUGCAUUCUCUAAGUUAAGCUCACCUUCGUAUUGCUAAACGAACAUUGAGGUAUAUCAAGGAAACUGUUGAUUACGGUAUUUGGUUUAAAAGGGAAGAGUGAGGGCAAUUGAUGGGUUAUUCAGACAGUGAUUGGGCAGGAAGUGUUGAUGAAAAACACUUCUGGAUAUGCUUUUACACUUGGUUCCGGCAUGUUCUUAUGGAAUUCAAGGAAGCAAGAUGUGGUAGCUCAAUCAUCUGCAGAAGCAGAAUACAUCGCUGCUGCUGGUGCAACUAAUCAGGCUCUAUGGUUACGAAAAAUUCUGCGUGAUCUAGAGCAAAAUCAAAUUGAAGCUACUGUCAUUAGUUGACAACAAGUCAGCAAUUUCUAUGGCCAAAAAUCCAGUGCAACAUGGUCGUAGUAAGCAUAUAAAUGUGAAGUUUCACGCUAUCAUGCAAACAGAGAAAGAUGGUGAAGUUAAUCCAGUUCAUUGCAGCUCAGAUAAACAGAUUGCAGACAUUUUGACCAAGGCUCUUCCUAAGGGAAAAUUUGAAGUUCUAAGGGCUAUGCUGGGAGUAUCCAAGAAAAGUCUCAAGGAGGAGUGUUAGAAUAUGAAACUCUUCUUGAUAGUCUUUUGUUUAAUAUUUUUUUUUAAAUAUUAUGUUUAGUUUUAUUUUAAAAGAUAAAUGGUAGUUUUUAUUUUUGAGAAGUGUGUCUUGUAAGACUUAUGAAGUGUGUCUUGUAAGACUCAUGUAGCUUAUAAAUAUAGUGUUUUGUAAAAUGUUGACUAUGAAUGAAUGUUGAAUGUAUGAAUGAAAACUCCUGCU